rnacentral:rRNA from 1 species
CACGUAGGGCGCAAGCGUUGUCCGGAAUUAUUGGGCGUAAAGAGCUCGUAGGCGGUCUGUUGCGUCCGCUGUGAAAACUCGGGGCUUAACCCCGAGCCUGCAGUGGAUACGGGCAGACUAGAGGUAGGUAGGGGAGAAUGGAAUUCCCGGUGUAGCGGUGAAAUGCGCAGAUAUCGGGAGGAACACCGGUGGCGAAGGCGGUCUCUCGGUCGGAUA